CUGCUGUGGACAAAUAAAGUGAAUAUGUGAAUCAACUCCACCUGCUGUGAGAAUUUGCCCUUCACCCGCAAUCACCUCAGUACCUGGGCCAACUAGAAUAUCGACACCGGGCUGAACAUCAGGGUUGCCAGCCUUACCAAUGCCCACAAUACGGCCAUGCUUGAUGCCUAUGUCUGCUUUAACAAUCCCCCAAUGAUCCAUAAUCAGUGCGUUAGUAAUCACCACAUCAACAACUUCUGCAUCAACGCCUUGGCAUUGGCCCAUCCCAUCACG
rnacentral:sRNA from 1 species